ACAGAAGCGGGUCAAAUCUCGCGAGAGGUUAAAAGCCUCGCGAGACGUCGUCCUACCCACGUGAUUCCUAGCUGUCGCUGCGCGGCCCACCCUUGUGUUAGGGACGCGGAGUGGGCGGAGCUUCAUAGAAAGGAAAUGGCGUAGCUAGGUUGCGCCAGGCGCCGGAUGUAGGUUUGUGUUAUCCCGAUUUCGGAUGUGAGUGCAGAGUCCUUGACUAAUUUGGGAGUGGGUGUUGUUGGGCCCUUCGUGAAGUUCCCAGCAGAGUAACCGCAUUUUCCUUCUAAGACUAGCGGUGCUGGGAGGUGGGAGGAACGGAGUUUUAAAGCAACGAGCAUACCAGCGGUUGGUUCCCAAGAUGUGGUUCCCGCAACUCCUGUAUCACCAUCGCGCGGUAACUUAUUACAAGUGCAGAUUCUCAGUCCCUACUCCAGACCUCCUGACUCAGAAACUCGAGGUGGCGCAGCAGCCUGUUUUAACACGCGCCGCAGGUGAUACCAAUAUCUGCUCAAGUUUUAGAGCCAUCGCUUUAUAUAGUAGGAGAAGACUUAGUAGCAAUAAAAAGGAACUAGAGAUAGAGGAACAGAGAAAAUGACCCCGAGGGAAGAUUCUGAUCCAGAAUAUGAAACAUUCUAUAAGAAAAUGCCUAAAUUCUUCACAAAGGGAGUGGAUCGGAAAUGACCUGAGCGAGGGGCCCACCUCCCUGGGACAAUGGCCCGGUAUUUUUGACGUGGGA